UUCCCUUGCAAUUUAACAUUUAAAGCUCAGAUUUAAGGGGUAGUUGGGUGUAUGAGGAUGUAGUUUGCAAUCAUGGUGUGGCAGUGCAAGAUCUGUCAGUGGAUAGCCUCCACGAAAGGAGGUGUCUUGAAGCACUAUCGAUUUCAUCAUGGUUCAUUUACACAUGGCCAUUUUGUACUGUGUCCACACUCCAGUUGUCCAUGCUCUUUCAAAACACAGAGUGCCCUUAACACACAUUUAAGUAGAUACCAUAUACAUGAGGACAAUCAAGUGCCAGAAGUGCUUACUUUAAAUUGUAAAAGUUGUAGCACACAACAUUGUUCUGAGAAGGACUAUUUUCAACAUUUAGGUCAUCAUCUUAGAAGUCAUGAAACCAUAGAAUGUGUAUUUCAAGGGUGUAACUUUAAGACAAAUAGAUAUGGGACUUUUGUAACACACAGAAGCAGAAAACAUAAUCCUCACUCUUACAGAGAUUUCAAGACCGAUGUGUUAGUGAUGAAGGAGACUGAAUCACAUUCAUUUGAUACUAAGCUGCAGGACAGUGACACUGAGAACAGAUGUAUAGAUGGGGAUUACCAAAUGCAAGAUGAAUCACAGACAGUUGUGAACAAAAUAGCCUUGCUCCUGUUGAAGUUAGAGAGCAUAUACAAUGUGUCUUCCAGAUGCAUUGAUGACUUGGUUGAAGAACUCCGCUUUGUGUCUUGUUUGUCAUCCCAUUCCCAGUUGUUCAAAAACAUUGUUGAAUCAAGUUUAAGUAAGAAUAAUUGUGUCCUCAGUGAAGAGAAUGUCACUGAAUUUGUAAAUGAACUUUGUAAGUCCAACCCUAUUGUAAGAGCAUUAGAAGCAGGUGGUCCCCUUGGGUCUGCCUUCAAGAGAAAACAAUUUUUUAAGGACAAUUUUGAAGUUGUUGAACCAGUAGAAUUUGUUCUAGAUGCUGCUGAGAGUAGGCAAUAUCACUAUGUACCUAUUCUUGAGACAUUGCAGCAGGUGUUGAACAGCAAAAGUAUGAAAUUGGACAUGCUGAAACAUAAAGUUUCAAGUGACCCAUCCCAUAUUGAGUCUUUUGUAGAUGGCAGCUAUUUCAAGGAAAAUAGGUUCUUUGAUGGGGAUGAACUAAAAGUCUCUCUGAUUAUUUAUGUUGAUGAGUUUGAGGUGUGCAAUCCACUUGGAACCUCUAAGAAAAAGCACAAAAUAUCAGCAGUAUAUUGGGUUUUGGCCAAUAUGCCUCCUGAAUUGCGAUCUACUCUGACAUCAAUACAUUUGGCUAUUCUUAGCAAAGGUGAUGAUGUAAGAAGGUUUGGAUAUGAUGCAGUUUUGGAACCACUUUUGAAAGAUAUUUGUGUCUUAGAACAGGAAGGAGUUUUCAUUGCUAGUGUUGGAAAAACCAUCAAAGGGACUGUACUUUGUGUUGUAGCAGACAACCUUGGUGCCCAUUCUCUCAGUGGUUUAGUUGAAAGUUUUACUGGGGAUUACAUCUGUAGGUUCUGUUUAGGAUGUCGUAGUGAAUUCCAGCAGAAAGAAGUAAGAUCAGGGGCUUUUCCACAAAGGACAAAAGAGGCAUAUGCUGAGCAUGUUGAGACUAUGAAGGUAAAUCCUACACUUACCCAUUGUUUUGGUGUCAAAAAGGCUUGUCCACUGACAGAGAAACUGACACAUUUUCACUUUGCCUGUGGUUAUCCUCCAGAUAUAGCUCAUGACUUAUUUGAAGGUAUCAUUCCAGUAGAGCUAGCACUGUGCCUCUCUGUUCUUAUCAAGAAAAAAUACGUCACAUUAAGUGAACUGAAUGACUCAAUUAAACACUUCCCCUACAAAUGGACUGACAAAACUAACAGCCCUCAAUCAAUACCCCAAAAUUUUGCUACUCGCCAUAGCGUAGGGGGAAAUGCACAUGAGAACUGGGCACUAAUCAGACUUCUCCCACUCUUUAUUGGGUCAAAGAUACCUUUGGAUGAACCAGCAUGGCACAUUCUCAUGAUUUUAAAAGACAUCAUUGAACUUGUCGUGUCACCUGUCCACACAGCAGAAAGUAUUGCUUUCCUUGACUUAAAGAUAUCUGAACAUCGCCAUCUCUUUUUAAGUGUGUUUCCAAAUGAACGACUGCUUCCAAAACACCACUUCUUGGAGCACUAUCCUCAAAUGAUUGAAGCCUUUGGACCACUUGUUGGAUUUUGGACAAUGCGAUUUGAAUCAAAACAUAGUUUCUUUAAACGUGUAGUGAGGCAUACUACCAACUUCAGAAAUGUUUUGCUGUCACUCACUACAAGGCACCAAAUGAUGAUGGCUUACCACUCCUAUGCAAGCACUGUGACACCUUCAGUGUGUGUCAGUAAGGUGCACAAAAUGCCUAUGGAAUUGGUACAUGCAGAGGUACAGGAGGCCAUAAGAAAAUUAUCACCAAACCAAACAAGUGUGCAGUUGGCCAAUGCUGUAUCUUACUGUGGAACAACAUACAAAGUGGGCAUGAUAUUGCCUUAUGGUUGUACUGGAGGUCUACCUGACUUUGUUGAGAUCGUUCAGAUAGUUUUGGACAAAGGUCUCAGUUUCAUUGUCAAGACUCUUAUUGCUUAUUACAAUGAGCAUCUAAGAUCAUAUCACCUUGAGUCAUCUGGGCAUUUUCUUCUUGUUGAGCAUGGAGCACUUGGUGAUUCUUAUCCUUUGGCAGCUUAUUGUGUUGGUAAAAAUCGUUUGGUUACUCUGAAGCGUUACAUAGGUUGUACAUUUUAGAUUGUUGUAUGAUCUCACAAACUAUUCAGGUUUAGGUCUGUGUUAUUUCUUGCUUUGUGCUAUUUUUAUAAAUGACUAUCACUUCUUUUAUUGUCUUAGGUCUAAGAUACAACAUGGACCCUGCAGCACUAAAAGUUCUUAUUAAGGAGCAAAUCAGGAAGCUAGUCCUUCCCUUAGGAAUCCCAAAUACUGUAGAUGAAUUGAAAUUAGCUGUAAAGGAAGCAUUUGUUAUAACCGAGGAGUUUAGCCUACAGUACAUGGACUCUGAUUUUCAUGACUUUUUCACACUUACUUCUACUGACCAGAUUCAACACAAGGAUACAGUCAAAGUUGUGUUCCCUUCUCCUGUGGUGCUGACAUUCUGUACUCAACAUGAUACCAUCCCUAGCACCAGUACAUUACAGUUUGAAGAGGAAUCAUCUGCCGUUGCAUUUAUACAUAGUUCGUCAGGUUACAGUGGGGCAGAUGUAUCUACAACCCAGUCAGAUGAUGCACUUUCCUCUUCUUCUCAAGAUACACUCAUCCUUUCUCCACAGAGUAGCCCAGACAGGCUACCAUGGCCUCAAGAAUUUACAAUUCCAUGUUUCUCCCCAGAAGUACAGAUCGUGCUUGAAAAGGCAAUGGAGGCCUACAUGAGAGAUGGCACUCUUAUGAGUGUCCAAAAUGUAAAGAGAAAUAUAACUGAAAGGCUGACUCAGGCUAUUUAUGCUUAUACAGCAUAUCCUUCAGGUAUGCAGAUUAUCUGUGUGGCAGAAGCACUUGUUCGGAAAUAUCCAUGUCUAAAAGAACCUGGUUCCUUAAGUGGAUAUUAUGGUUGGCAGAUGAGUCUUAAGUACAAAAUGGCUGAUUACAGAAGGCGACUCAGCAAGUUUGGUUGUCCUGAAGUUACAUGUAACACGCUGAAAAGUAAGAGUCCUGAGAACAGGAAACCCGCAAAGAAUGUCAAAAAGCCGAGGAAAGCAGAAGUGAAUUACCUGCCACCAUACCCAACAGGUCAGAGUGAAGAGAGUUUGGAGCAAGAAAGGUUGGAAUUGCUUAGUGAAGUAAAAAAGAGGGACAAUACCAUGGUGAUCAAAGCAAAAAUGGCAAAAACUUUCGCGCUCAGAAGACAUGAAGUUGUCAACCUGUCCCCCAGAGUUGUGGAUUUUAAAGACAGAUGGCCUGCACUGUUUAACCCCCAGCAGAUAAAUGAAGAAUUCAGGAGAAUUACCACUUUGGAUUUAGAGCCAAAAUUUAUGCAGAUGUUGGACCAGUAUACCCCAAAUCUGUUGAGCAUAUUUUGUGCCAAAGGAGGAGCACUUGGACAAACUUUGCAGGACAAAAUGGUUGCCAUUCAUCAGAACCCUGGUGGUGUUACUAUUGACCAGACAAGAGAAGUUGUCAUUCGUUGCUUGGUUCAUUACUUGGGUGAAAAGGAUGAUGAUCUCAUCCAGGAAUACCAUUGCGCCGAAACAGAUUUUCAGCAAGAUCUCAUGCACCACACAAUGAAAAUUUCUGUCUUUAAGAGGGGUGAGCAGGAUGACAUCAGCAUUGUCUUGGAGGGUGCCCAAGUAGUGAGUGGUUUAGGAAAUGUGGCUAAAGCUUGUGCCGUUCUUCUUGGCCUCACUUAUGCUCUAAAUCUGAGCUACCCUAAACAGCUCAGGUAUACAUUUGAAGCAUUUCAAAAGCUCAUCUUAGAGUUGGACACUUGUAAGUUUUCACCCAAAAUGCAGUCUCUUAAGAAUAAGCUUGCUUAAUGUAGUCAUGCAAUACAAUUUACUUGGCUGAACACAGUGUUAAAACAAGCAUUGACAUACAAGUUACAUUCUUUAAAAUGUUUUAAGAUUUACACCACAAAAAUGCAUAUUUGUUUAGUGAUGCAACAUCAGACCACAGUAUGAGGUGUGGCAAAUUUUCAGUUCAGGUACAGUUGAUCUGUAUAAUUAUGUAGAAAUUUGGGACAGUAA